CAGCAGCCGCGGGAAUACGAAGGGUGCAAGCGUUACUCGGAAUUACUGGGCGUAAAGCGUGCGUAGGUGGUGGUUUAAGUCCGUUGUGAAAGCCCUGGGCUCAACCUGGGAAUUGCAGUGGAUACUGGGUCACUAGAGUGUGGUAGAGGAUAGUGGAAUUUCCGGUGUAGCAGUGAAAUGCGUAGGGAUCGGAAGGAACAUCUGUGGCGAAGGCGACUAUCUGGGCCAACACUGACACUGAGACACGAAAGCGUGGGGAGCAAACAGGAUUAGAUACCCCCGUAGUCCCUGUCUCUUAUAC
rnacentral:rRNA from 1 species